UGUCAAUUUCUUUUUAUCUUUACAUGCCACUGUUGUCUAAGAAUUCACUUGGGUCCAUGCAAUAGCGCCUAAUGGAUUUUCCAGUCCACUCUUGAGACCCCUUUGAUCUCUUCUCUGCCUGGCAGCCAAACACUUAACAGUACCUUGCUGAAUAGGAGUAAUGAG
rnacentral:lncRNA from 1 species